rnacentral:rRNA from 1 species
AUGGUGCUGGUGAAGAUGUUGAUGGAGAUUGCCCUCCCCAAGAUGGGAGAGUUGUUGGUGAUGAUGAUGACGAUGAUUUCCCCCUCCGGGAGGGAAGUUCCCCCUGCAGAAUCGCUCCGCCGGAGGGCAAAUGUGCUCCUGCACAAGUUCCGCCUUGAGACGGCGGCGCUCCGCCCCGAAAGUCUUCUCUUUAUUUUUUUUCUAUGUCAAAAUGACUUAUAUACCAGAAGAUGGGCACCGGAGGUGGGCCGAGGAGGCCACAACCCACCAGGACGCGCAGGGGGGCCUGGCGCGCCCAGGUGGGUUGUGCCCACCUGGUGGCCCCCCUCUGGUAGUUAUUGGCUCCAAUAUUUCUUAAAUAAUCCAUAA